CCUACGGGAGGCUGCAGUGGGGAAUAUUGCACAAUGGGCGCAAGCCUGAUGCAGCCAUGCCGCGUGUGUGAAGAAGGCCUUCGGGUUGUAAAGCACUUUCAGCGGGGAGGAAGGCGUUAAGGUUAAUAACCUUGGCGAUUGACGUUACCCGCAGAAGAAGCACCGGCUAACUCCGUGCCAGCAGCCGCGGUAAUACGGAGGGUGCAAGCGUUAAUCGGAAUUACUGGGCGUAAAGCGCACGCAGGCGGUCUGUCAAGUCGGAUGUGAAAUCCCCGGGCUCAACCUGGGAACUGCAUUCGAAGCUGGCAGGCUAGAGUCUUGUAGAGGGGGGUAGAAUUCCAGGUGUAGCGGUGAAAUGCGUAGAGAUCUGGAGGAAUACCGGUGGCGAAGGCGGCCCCCUGGACAAAGACUGACGCUCAGGUGCGAAAGCGUGGGGAGCAAACAGGAUUAGAUACCCCUGUAGUC
rnacentral:rRNA from 1 species